rnacentral:rRNA from 1 species
UGGUGGAGUGAUUUGUCUGGUUAAUUCCGAUAACGAACGAGACCUUAAUCUGCUAAAUAGUUGCAUUCACUUUGGUGGAUGAUUCAACUUCUUAGAGAGACUAUGUACGUUUAGUACGUGGAAGUUUGAGGCAAUAACA